rnacentral:rRNA from 1 species
GACAGAGGUGCCGAGCGUUAGGCGGAAUCACUGGGCUUAAAGCGUGUGUAGGCGGAUGCCUAAGUACCUUGUGAAAUCCCAUGGCUUAACCAUGGAACUGCUUGGUAUACUGGGUGUCUUGAGCCAGCUAGGGGCUACCGGAACAAAUGGUGGAGCGGUGAAAUGCGUAGAUAUCAUUUGGAACGCCAAUGGUGAAAACAGGUAGCUGGGGCUGUGCUGACGCUGAGACACGAAAGCCAGGGGAGCGAACGGG